UACGCAGGUGGCAAGCGUUGUCCGGAAUUAUUGGGCGUAAAGAGCUCGUAGGCGGUUUGUUGCGUCGGCUGUGAAAUCCCGAGGCUCAACCUCGGGUCUGCAGUCGAUACGAGCAAACUAGAGUGUUGCAGGGGAGACUGGAAUUCCUGGUGUAGCGGUGAAAUGCGCAGAUAUCAGGAGGAACACCGGUGGCGAAGGCGGGUCUCUGGGCAACAACUGACGCUGAGGAGCGAAAGCGUGGGGAGCGAACAGG
rnacentral:rRNA from 1 species